rnacentral:lncRNA from 1 species
CCUCUCCUCUCCUCUCCUCUCCUCUCCUCUCCUCUCCUCUCCUCUCCUCUCCUCUCCUCUCCUCUCCUCUCCUCUCCUCUCCUCUCCUCUCCUCUCCUCUCCUCUCCUCUCCUCUCCCCUUCCCUCUCCCCUCUCUCCUCUCCUCUACCCCUUCCCUAGUCUGCUCCUCCUCUCCUCUCCCCCUCCCCCUCCCAUACUCUCCUCUCUCUUGCUCAAACUUUCUAUGUCCCCUAUCUAUUUCCUUCACUAAUGUUGACCAGGGUCUAUAGGUCAUGACAGAGAUGUUGACCAGGGUCUAUAGGUCCUGAACAGAGAUGUUGACCAGGGUCUAUAGGUCCUGAUGUUGACCAGGGUCUAUAGGUCCUGAUGUUGACCAGGGUCUAUAGGUCCUGACAGAGAUGUUUGUAUACUAUAUGAAACAAGUCAUUAGGAGAGUUAAAGUCAGCUGUGUCGGUGUUUAGCCUACCAGAAUCACAACCCUCUUCAUAAAUCACUAUUACAUGUUUUUCCCUACUGAUGAUUAUCAUUUCAGAUUGGAUAAAAAAUGUAUAAAGAGAUGAAGAAUCCACUGGUCUUGCUAUUUUCAUGAUUUAGGGUGUCAUUACCACUGCUGGCCGCUAGACGGCGCCACAGUACACUAAAUGAACCGCCAGGCUUUCACACUGUUUUGAUGGGAGAUGUCAUUAGUUAUUUUAACCACAAGAGGGCGCAACCUUACAUUAAAUGAAGACCAGGCCACCUUUCACCCACAGGGGUAGAAAUUAAACUAUUGACGGAAAAUGAAAAACAAGAGAGUAGAUAGAUGAGAAAAAGUCCAGGCUUUCGGAUUUAGAGAGAGAGAUGUUAUUCAAGUCUAUGUGCUAUAACCCAGUUAUCUCUCCUUCCUCCUGAAGUGUGCACUCGAUCACUAGGCCUACUGCCCACAAAUGAUCUUUCCUACCUCCUGAAGUGUACACUCAUUCACUAGGCCUACUGCCCACAUGUCUAAAAUGAUUGGAUUGGUGUUGUGGAGACAUGGGCUAGAGAGAUUUUCCAUAUACCAGUCAUUCCCUUUCAAAUCUAUGAAGGCAAGUGAACAAAUGCUCACUUGGAGAGAUAAUUGGGAUGCAGCCAUUGUGCCAAAGUCCUGUAGACAGUCUACAGUUAGUUAUUCUCCUAGCGACACAAAGGGAGGCAAGAGAAUUCACUAGCUAUAAAGUAGAGAGUAGCCUUAUAGGCUAUCUUUUCCUGGCUGUUAAAUCAUACUGAACACAAAUAUAUAAAGGGGUCUCCCGAGUGGGGCAGUGGUCUAAGGCUGUGCCGCUAGGGAUUCUGGGAUUGAGUCCAGGCCUUGUCUCAGUGGUCUAAGGCUGUGCCGCUAUGGAUUCUGGGAUUGAGUCCAGGCCCUGUCUCAGUGGUCUAAGGCUGUGCCGCCAUGGAUUCUGGGAUUGAGUCCAGGCCCUGUCUCAGUGGUCUAAGGCUGUGCCGCUCGGGAUUCUGGGAUUGAGUCCAGGCCCUGUCUCAGUGGUCUAAGGCUGUGCCGCUAUGGAUUCUGGGAUUGAGUCCAGGCCCUGUCUCAGUGGUCUAAGGCUGUGCCGCUAGGGAUUCUGG